UACGUAGGGUGCGAGCGUUGCCCGGAUUUAUUGGGCGUAAAGGGCGCGUAGGCGGCUCGGCACGUCCGUUGUGAAAUCGCCCGGCUCAACUGGGGAGGGUCACCGGUAACGGCCGAGCUAUGAGUGCAGGAGAGGGAAGUGGAACUCCGGGAGUAGCGGUGAAAUGCGUAGAGACCCGGAGGAACACCAGUGGCGAAGGCGGCUUCCUGGUCUGCGAA
rnacentral:rRNA from 1 species